GAUGAACGCUGGCGGCGUGCCUAAUACAUGCAAGUCGAGCGAACGGACGAGAAGCUUGCUUCUCUGAUGUUAGCGGCGGACGGGUGAGUAACACGUGGAUCACCAACCUAUAAGACUGGGAUAACUUCGGGAAACCGGAGCUAAUACCGGCUAAUAUUUUGAACCGCAUGGUUCAAAAGUGAAAGACGGCCUUGCUGUCACUUAUAGCUGGAUCCGCGCUGCAUUAGCUAGUUGGUAAGGUAACGGCUUACCAAGGCAACGAUGCAUAGCCGACCUGAGAGGGUGAUCGGCCACACUGGAACUGAGACACGGUCCAGACUCCUACGGGAGGCAGCAGUAGGGAAUCUUCCGCAAUGGGCGAAAGCCUGACGGAGCAACGCCGCGUGAGUGAUGAAGGUCUUCGGAUCGUAAAACUCUGUUAUUAGGGAAGAACAUAUGUGUAAGUAACUGUGCACAUCUUGACGGUACCUAAUCAGAAAGCCACGGCUAACUACGUG
rnacentral:rRNA from 1 species